AUCCAACUGACAAAUCCGAAAUGGGACGAAACGCGCGUCAACCUGGAU
rnacentral:hammerhead_ribozyme from 1 species